rnacentral:rRNA from 1 species
GGCAGACGGGUGAGUAACACGUGGGAACAUACCCUUUGGUUCGGAAAAACUUCGGGAAACUGAGGCUAAUACCGGAUACGGCCUAUGGGCGAAAGAUUCAUCGCCGAAGGAUUGGCCCGCGUUCGAUUAGCUAGAUGGUGAGGUAAUGGCUCACCAUGGCGACGAUCGAUAGCUGGUCUGAGAGGAUGGCCAGCCACAUUGGGACUGAGACACGGCCCAAACUCCUACGGGAGGCAGCAGUGGGGAAUAUUGGACAAUGGGCGCAAGCCUGAUCCAGCCAUGCCGCGUGAGUGAUGACGGCCUUAGGGUUGUAAAGCUCUUUCGCACGCGACGAUAAUGACGGUAGCGUGAGAAGAAGCCCCGGCUAACUUCGUGCCAGCAGCCGCGGUAAUACGAAGGGGGCUAGCGUUGUUCGGAUUUACUGGGCGUAAAGGGUGCGUAGGCGGAUUGUUAAGUCAGGGGUGAAAUCCCGAGGCUCAACCUCGGAACUGCCUUUGAUACUGGCGAUCUUGAGUCUGGGAGAGGUGAGUGGAACUGCGAGUGUAGAGGUGAAAUUCGUAGAUAUUCGCAAGAACACCGGUGGCGAAGGCGGCUCACUGGCCCGGUACUGACGCUGAGGCACGAAAGCGUGGGGAGCAAACAGGAUUAGA